rnacentral:siRNA from 1 species
CUAACUCUCUCCCACAACUUGACA